UGGGGAAUAUUGGACAAUGGGCGCAAGCCUGAUCCAGCCAUGCCGCGUGAGUGAUGAAGGCCUUAGGGUUGUAAAGCUCUUUCGGCGGGGACGAUAAUGACGGUACCCGCAGAAGAAGCCCCGGCUAACUUCGUGCCAGCAGCCGCGGUAAUACGAAGGGGGCUAGCGUUGCUCGGAAUCACUGGGCGUAAAGGGCGCGUAGGCGGACAUUUAAGUCGGGGGUGAAAGCCCAGGGCUCAACCCUGGAAUUGCCUCCGAUACUGGGUGUCUCGAGACCGGAAGAGGUGAGUGGAACUGCGAGUGUAGAGGUGAAAUUCGUAGAUAUUCGCAAGAACACCAGUGGCGAAGGCGGCUCACUGGUCCGGUUCUGACGCUGAGGCGCGAAAGCGUGGGGAGCAAACAGGAUUAGAUACCCUGGUAGUCCACGCCGUAAACGAUGGAUGCUAGCCGUUGGCAGGCUUGCCUGUCAGUGGCGCAGCUAACGCUUUAAGCAUCCCGCCU
rnacentral:rRNA from 1 species